rnacentral:lncRNA from 1 species
UUUUUUUUUUUUUUUUUUUUUUUUUUUUUGCUUUUUAGGGCUGCACUUGUGGCAUAUGCAAGUUCCCUGGCUAGGGGGUGAAUCACCAUGGCAAUGUGGCAUCCAAGCCAUGUCUGCGACCUACACCACAGCUCACAGCAAUGCUGGAUCCCCGACCCAAUGAGCGAGGCCAGGGAUCGAACCUACAUCCUUGUGGAUAAUAGUUGGAUUUGUUUCCACUGUGCCACAACAGGAACUCCUAUGUAAAUUCUUUUAGACAGUUAUAGGAGAGGUCAAAGUUCCUUCCUGAGCUUUGAUUUGUUUUCAGCUUCAAAUAAUCCUCAUGCCAAGGAGACACUUGGGGAUGGCAAGUUUUGCUCCCCUACAGGUACGUACAAAAAAAAUCUUAUUAGGUAAUUGCUAUUUAUACUCUCAGUUUACAGCCGAGAAGUUUGGAAAAAAAGAGCUUCCCCAAUAUACACAGGUAAUGUGAGUGGCAAAGCCAAGAUUCACACUCCAGUGACGUGACUCCAGAGCCUUCUCUUAACUACUGUCCUACAUAGGCCUAGUCAGGUCUUUAGUCUAGUGGCUAGAUUGAACUUGCAUUAUGACAUUUUAAUGUAUCAGUUAGGGUUCUCCCAAGACCCAGAAGCAACAGACACAGAACUAUAAAGAGAUUUAUUAUGAGUGCUUGGCUCAUGCAAAUGAUGGAGACGGAGAAGUCCCAAGAUAGGCCUGCCAACUGCAGGCUGGAGGCUCAGGAAGCCAGUGGAGUAUGCAGUUCCAGUCCAAACCUGACAGCCUGAGAACCAGGGCAGCCAAUGGUGUGAGUACCAGUCUGAGUCUGAAGACCUGAGAACCAAAAGCACCAGUGUCUAAGGACAAAAAGAUGGAUGUUCCAGCUACGGCAGAGAGCAAAUUGCCCUUCCUCUGCCUCUUUGUUCUACUCGGACACUUAAUAAAUUGGAUGAUAUCCACCUUCAUUGUGGAAGGGCCAUCUUCUUCACUCAAUCCACUGAUUCAAAUGCUAAUCUCUUCCUGAGAAACCCUAACAGAUGCAUCUAUAAAUAAUGUUUUUUGUUUGCUUUUCAGGGCCACACCUGCAGCAUGUGGAAGUUCCCAGGCUAGGGGUCGAACUGUAGCUACAGCUUCUGGCUUAAACCACAGCCACAGCAACACAGGAUAUGAGCCCUGUCUGUGACCUACACCAUAGCUCAUGGCAACUCUGGAUCCUUGACCCACUGAGUAAGGCCAGAGAUCGUACCCACAUCCUCCUGGAUCCUAGUUGGGUUCAUUAACUGCUGAGCCAUGAAGGGAACUACCUAUAAAUAAUGUUUACCAGCUGGCUGGGCUGAUACCUCAGGGCAGUCAAGCUGAUACAUAAAAUUACCCAUCACAGCCAGGACUCUCAAAGUUCUUUGUAUGUAGAAGUCCACCUUCUGAGUCAAUAAGAAGACCCAUUUUUACAUCGGGAAAUUUGUGAGGGUGCAGUAGAAAAGGUGGUAAAAUAGAAAUAAGACCAAGGGAUUCUGUGUUCUAAUAUUUUGAAGGAGAAUAUCAGAAGACAGUACAAUAUAUGCUGACACAUAUGUGAGGCACUUUGGAAGCUCUUUAUAAGGAAGAGACCAUCGCCUACCUUUGAGCACAGCUGUUAGAGUGCAGUAAAGAGUGCUUCUCUGAGAUGAGGCCAGACAUUGAGCCUUAACAAAACAAGGCUCCCAAGUCUAUCUACUUGGUAAUAAAUGGAGUAGGAAUAUGACAACCUACCAAUUUACUUUCUGGCAGUAAGUGUAGCCUGGGGUUGUAUUUGACAUUGGAAGUCCAAACCUUGGCAGGAACUUCUACAGUGCAGGAAUUUAGGGACAUGGGCAGGGGGUGAAAGGACAGGGAGCAUGUGAAAUUUCUUGGCCAUAAACAGGAACCUCUUGUGGUAUGGGAAUUGAAUCUUUUCUCCCUAUUAGAAUAGUUCUCAGGGGGCUUGCUUGAGUUAAAAGUAAAAUGAAUUCCUCACCCUGGAGACUAAAAUGUCCUUUAUAAUUCCUGGCUUUAGCUUGGAAUAACUAAUAAGGUUUGUUAUUAAUGUUCCUCUUUGCCUUACAAUAACUUCAACUGGCAGAAAUAGGAUGUUAGCUCCCCUAUUGAGGAGGCUUGGGGAAUGAAGGACAGGGAUCAAAGUGUGGGAAAGGCCUCGUCCCUCCCCCUGGACCAAGGUUGUCAUUUAAUUUCCAUCAGUGUUAUGGCUUUAGAGGAGGGUAUAGAAUCAAGAAAAAAGAAUGAGGAAGCUGGCAUUUGCAAAAUGACUUCCAGACCUAUUAAAACAUCAAAGCCAAAAUAUCCCCCCAGGAAUGAACUUCAGAUGACCAUUUAAGAGAAGAUAUACCAAAGAAUGUUUUAUUUCAUAUUCACGAAACCUAAGCUUCCCAUCUCCACAGUAUUCUAUGUUUUUAUGUGUUUUAACAGCUUUUAAUGUUUUCAAAUAAAAAGAGCAAAAACACGAGCAUGUGGCCUGCCUAUCUAUCUAUCUAAUAUAUAAAUACUGAAACACAAUUCUUAGUCAUUCAGUAUCACUCCAGUCUUGGAAUGCCUGUCGUGGCUCAGUGGUAAAGAACCUAACUCAUAUACAUGAGGGGGUGGGUUCCAUCCCUGGCCUCGCUCAGUGGGUAAAGGAUUCAUCACUGCUGUGAGCUGUGGUGCAGGUCACAGACACAGUUCAGAUCCCAAGUUGCUGUGACUGUGGCAUAGGCCAGUAGCUAGUUCCAAUUUGACCCCAAGACUAGGAACUUCCAUACGCCACAGGUGCGGCCCUAAAAAGAAAAAAAGAAAAACAACAACAACAACAAAAAAAAACCCCAAAACUCAUUCCAGUCUUAUCCAGCACAGACUGGAUGAAAGUUGAAAUUGUCAUCCUAGUUAAAAUAGAGAGACUGCUUUUACUGGAUUGCUCUUUACAGAGAUUUUUUAUUGUCGCAAAAAUGUUUCCAACCACUGGAACACAAAAAGGUACACAGAUACGUAAAGCUAUGAAAGGAGCUAUGAACCUAGAGUUAAGAGGAAAUCUUUUUGUAGAAAAACACACACCCCUCUUUAAAGCUAUUGCUCUGCAUGAAUCUCUUAUGUAUAGAAAGAGUACAAUGAUGCGAUUAAGAAUCAAGCCUCUGGUUACCAAGGGGGAUGGGUGGGCAGAAGGAAGGACUGGGAGCUUGGGAUGGCAUAUACACACUGUGGUAUACAGAAUGGAUGGUCAACAAGGACCUGCUGUACAGCACAGGGAAAUCUACUCAAUAUGCUAUGAUAACCUGUAUGGGAAUGGAUAUGAGUAUCUGUAUAACUGAAUCACUUUGCUGUACAGCAGAAAUUAACACAACAUUGUAAAUCAACUAUAAAGUUUUAAAAAAUAAAAAAAAAAUUAAAGGAAUUUGUUAACAUGGCUCAGCAGUUAACAAACCUGACUAGGAUCCAUGAGGGUGUAGGUUCGAUCCCUGGCCUUGCUUAGUGGGUUAAAGAUCCAGCAUUGCUGUGAGCUGUGGUGUAGGUUGCAGACGCAGCUCAGAUCUGACAUUGCUGUGGCUGCAGCAUAGGCCGGCAGCUACAUCUAUGAUUCAACCCCUAGCCUGGGAACCUCCAUAUGCCAUGGGAAUGGCCCAAGAAAAGGCAAAAAAAGAUAAACACACACACAUGCACAAAAGUCUAAUUUUAGUCAACAUUUUAAUGCAUAGUAAGGUUGAUAGGAUAUGCGAUUUUGAGUUCUUGAUAAACUGAUUGAUGCUUUCCUGGAUUUUUCAUAUUAGAAAAGCCAGUUCUAUCAAACAUUUGAACUUUGGUGAGAGAUUUUUCUACCUGAAGCCUGCUGAUGCUUUCCCAGGGAUGGAGGAAUAAAUAUCCCUUCUCUGUCAAUAUCCCCUUGAGAGCAAGAACUGAGGGGCUUAAAUUGGCAGCCUCCAAAGAUCCAUUUGUGUCCUCUGUGGCUGGCAGUGGGCAGUGUGCAAAGAGGUUCCUUUUUCUAAGUCCUGUAGCAAUCAUAUGGCCAAAUUGUCAGGAAUACGCAUGAUAUAAUAUAUUUGGUGUUACUGUCCCCAGAUAGAUACACACUGGUCAGACAGUGUGUACUGGUGUUUCAUGUAGGAAAUAUGGUGACCAUAUGUUCGGAUUUCUAUGUUUUGCUAAUUCUAUUUCCUCCCCCCGCCCCUUUUGUUAGCAGUUUAUGGUUUCUGUUCACUGACAAAUUGCCAACUCAAUUUAUAAAACAGACUAAGUGUAAAGUAACCAUAGUGAGGAAACCAAAACAAAGAAAACUAGACCAAAGAAAUACUAUAUCAAAAUAUCUUCCAACACAGAGGUAUGAUUUGUCUUGGACUUUCAUGACAUGAGCUCCUAGAACACUCAAGGGGGGUGACAAUGACUCAGAGGUGACCAGACUGCAAAGUUCUGUGUUUUAUAUCUGUUUUGUGAGUGUGGGAGGAGACUUGUUCAAUUUGCAAACAAGGCAUUCUCAAACAAAACAGAAACUCCCAAAUCUGCCCUAGUAUGUAAGAGUCUAAACAGACUUUCAUGAAGCUGGUAAGCAAGUAUUUCUCCUUUCAACUCCCCUUUCCCCUCCUUCAACUCUCCAGAUACUCUCCCCAGAUUGCGUUCUGUUAAGUCUGGCAUCAGCUAGAGGUCCCCACUAAGGCCAGCUCACUGUCCUAAUUGAAGAUUACAGAUUUUCCAUUGAUGAUAAAGUUCUUGCCUAUUCUGACUCAUGAAAAUAUCAUUUAUUUACCUAAUCCCAUCCCCCUCAGUUGAGGAAAGACUUGAUCUUGCAGUAAAGACAUAGAGACAGAGUAAAAGAGAUAACCUAAGGAACUGCCUCCUUGCCUCUAGCCAACCCAUGAUAUCAACCUACCCAAAAAUGUGUACUUGAAAGAAGAUGGAAAAAAUGGGGAUACAGGUAUACUUGGCAUAGCGCAGGUAUACUUGGCAUAGCGCAGGAGAAGUAGCUGCUAGUCACUAGUAAUUCAUCAAUUCUCAGGGCAGAGAGGUGGAGAAGAAACUACCCUCUAUGCUUCCAGGCUGCUUUCUAUCUUUACUCUCUCUUCAGGUUCACAAGGUGCUUUGACAACUGGAUUGGCUUCCCAAGUGGCUUCAUGCUUGGGGAAGUGUCCUCAAUAGGGGACAGAAGCACUGAAAAGGGAUGUCACUUCUCCCAGGAUUAAUUUCUACUUCUAGUCUCUAUGACUGGCUGAUGGUGUUCUGGUUGAUGUCAGUCCAUCUCUGAGAGUCUCUUGAUCUCUAGUGGUACUGUUAAUGCCAACAUCCUGGAUCUUUAGGAAUGUAUAUCAGAUCUGACAUCAGUAUCUUCACCAAGGCUAAAGUACCCUAAAGAAGAGAAGCCCACUGAUGAAGAGCCAAUCAAUGACACACUUUGGCCUCACCAAACAUUUCCAUUUGAAGGUCAAUAAACUAUACUCAAUCAACUUUUUCUAAUAAUUUCUUUCCUAGGUUCACACUUCCUUCUUUAACCCUCUUUGCUACCUACCAUUCCCCUAACAUGCCAAGAAUAUUUAUAGCUCCAUCCUUUCCUCAAAUAGUUCUAUCUGUCUAAAAUUCUUUAUAACUGACUAUACCCAAAAAGAGAGGGGAAGAGACCUUCUGAGGAUAACUCUGAUGGUGCCUAACCUAGAUGGAUGGAAAGAAAGUGGUGCCAUUAAGGGAACUAAGAUACAGACAUAGGGUGAAGGGUUAAAUUUGGCAGGGAAGGGGACAGUGGAGUUAAUAAAUUUGGGGACCUGUUGCAUUGAAAGUCCCUAUAAAAUGUUGCAGAAGAGAGAGAAAUGUAGCAUGUAGUUCAGGCAGAGAUUUGGGAUGGCAAUAAAGACACAAGAAUCAUCAAAACAACAUGGUAAGAGAUGAAGAGAUUUCCAGAGGAAUGGUAGUAGAGUGGGUAAAUAAGAUGACUGAAGACAGUGCCUUGGUAAAUGUAUGAGAAUAGGGCACACAAAAAUAGUAAAUAGUAUUUAAAAAGCCACGAAAAAGGGAAGAAAGCAGGAAACUAGGAGAACCAGAAGACUGCCUGAUCAGAGCAUCCAAGAGAGGAUAGAAAGAUGAGGAUUACCAGGGCUGAGUAAUAUCAAGUUUCUAAAAAACAGAACCAAAAAAAAAAAAAAA